AACGAACGCUGGCGGCGUGCUUAACACAUGCAAGUCGAACGGAAAGGCCCUGCUUUUGUGGGGUGCUCGAGUGGCGAACGGGUGAGUAACACGUGAGUAACCUGCCCUUGACUUUGGGAUAACUUCAGGAAACUGGGGCUAAUACCAGAUAGGAGCUCCUGCUGCGUGGUGGGGGUUGGAAAGUUUCGGCGGUUGGGGAUGGACUCGCGGCUUAUCAGCUUGUUGGUGGGGUAGUGGCUUACCAAGGCUUUGACGGGUAGCCGGCCUGAGAGGGUGACCGGCCACAUUGGGACUGAGAUACGGCCCAGAGUCCUACGGGAGGCAGCAGGGGGGAAUAUGGCACAAUGGGCGGAAGCCUGAUGCAGCAACGCCGGGUGCGGGAUGACGGCCUUCGGGUUGUAAACCGCUUUCGCCUGUGACGAAGCGUGAGUGACGGUAAUGGGUAAAGAAGCACCGGCUAACUACGUG
rnacentral:rRNA from 1 species